rnacentral:rRNA from 1 species
ACAGUGUCUGGUGGGUAGUUUGACUGGGGCGGUCUCCUCCUAAAGAGUAACGGAGGAGCACGAAGGUUGGCUAAUCCUGGUCGGACAUCAGGAGGUUAGUGCAAUGGCAUAAGCCAGCUUGACUGCGAGCGUGACGGCGCGAGCAGGUGCGAAAGCAGGUCAUAGUGAUCCGGUGGUUCUGAAUGGAAGGGCCAUCGCUCAACGGAUAAAAGGUACUCCGGGGAUAACAGGCUGAUACCGCCCAAGAGUUCAUAUCGACGGCGGUGUUUGGCACCUCGAUGUCGGCUCAUCACAUCCUGGGGCUGAAGUAGGUCCCAAGGGUAUGGCUGUUCGCCAUUUAAAGUGGUACGCGAGCUGGGUUUAGAACGUCGUGAGACAGUUCGGUCCCUAUCUGCCGUGGGCGCUGGAGAACUGAGGGGGGCUGCUCCUAGUACGAGAGGACCGGAGUGGACGCAUCACUGGUGUUCGGGUUGUCAUGCCAAUGGCACUGCCCGGUAGCUAAAUGCGGAAGAGAUAAGUGCUGAAAGCAUCUAAGCACGAAACUUGCCCCGAGAUGAGUUCUCCCUGACCCUUUAAGGGUCCUGAAGGAACGUUGAAGACGACGACGUUGAUAGGCCGGGUGUGUAAGCGCAGCGAUGCGUUGAGCUAACCGGUACUAAUGAACCGUGAGGCUUAAC